rnacentral:rRNA from 1 species
UACGUAGGGGGCAAGCGUUGUCCGGAAUCAUUGGGCGUAAAGAGCGUGUAGGCGGCCAGAUAAGUCCGCUGUGAAAUCUCGAGGCUCAACUUCGAGCUGUCGGUGGAAACUGUCUGGCUAGAGUCCGGAAGAGGAGAAUGGAAUUCCUGGUGUAGCGGUGAAAUGCGCAGAUAUCAGGAGGAACACCAAUAGCGAAGGCAGCUCGCUGGGACGGUACUGACGCUGAGGCGCGAAAGCGUGGGGAGCGAACAGG